rnacentral:snRNA from 1 species
GGAUGUGAGGACCAUUAGGCUGUGACAUCUGUCACCUCAUUGAUCACCAGGGUUGACUGGGUUGAUCUGGCUGACUAGGCAGGUUCCCCCUUUCUCCCUCACCAUUCCAUGAGCUUCCCUCCCAAACCUGCAUGCUUGGCUUGGUUGAAAAGGAUGACCAUCCCCAGUAGAGGAGGACAGGUCUUCAGUCAAGGGUAUAUGAGUAGCUAGCUGCGUUCCCCACUAGAACCUCCAAAUAUGAUUAAGAGAAGCUAAAUUCUGAAAGACCUGAUAGAGAAGUUGGAACACUAUAACUUGGUAUCAUAAAAAUUUGGGUGAUCCACUGUGUUGUUGUAGUUUGACCUUCCC